GCUGGCGGCAGGCCUAACACAUGCAAGUCGAACGGUAACAGGAAGCAGCUUGCUGCUUUGCUGACCAGUGGCGGACGGGUGAGUAAUGUCUGGGAAACUGCCCGAUGGAGGGGGAUAACUACUGGAAACGGUAGCUAAUACCGCAUAACGUCGCAAGACCAAAGAGGGGGACCUUACGGCCUCUUGCCAUCGGAUGUGCCCAGAUGGGAUUAGCUAGUAGGUGGGGUAACGGCUCACCUAGGCGACGAUCCCUAGCUGGUCUGAGAGGAUGACCAGCCACACUGGAACUGAGACACGGUCCACACUCCUACGGGAGGCAGCAGUGGGGAAUAUUGCACAAUGGGCGCAAGCCUGAUGCAGCCAUGCCGCGUGUAUGAAGAAGGCCUUCGGGUUGUAAAGUACUUUCAGCGGGGAGGAAGGGAGUAAAGUUAAUACCUUUGCUCAUUGACGUUACCCGCAGAAGAAGCACCGGCUAACUCCGUGCCAGCAGCCGCGGUAAUACGGAGGGUGCAAGCGUUAAUCGGAAUUACUGGGCGUAAAGCGCACGCAGGCGGUUUGUUAAGUCAGAUGUGAAAUCCCCGGGCUCAACCUGAGAACUGCAUCUGAUACUGGCAAGCUUGAGUCUCGUAGAGGGGGGUAGAAUUCCAGGUGUAGCGGUGAAAUGCGUAG
rnacentral:rRNA from 1 species